CAGUCGCCGCGGUAAUACGAAGGUCCCGAGCGUUGUUCGGAAUCACUGGGCGUAAAGGGAGCGUAGGCGGCGUGGUAAGUCAGAUGUGAAAUCCCGGGGCUCAACCCCGGAACUGCGUCCGAUACUGCCAUGCUAGAGGAUUGGUGAGGUAGCUGGAAUUCUUGGUGUAGCAGUGAAAUGCGUGGAGGUCAAGAGGAACACUCGUGGCGAAAGCGAGCUACUGGACAAUAACUGACGCUGAGGCUCGAAGGCCAGGGUAGCGAAAGGGAUUAGAUACCCGCGUAGUCCCUGUCUCUUAUAC
rnacentral:rRNA from 1 species